rnacentral:lncRNA from 1 species
GGGUUAGUUGUUAAGCAGGUUUUAAGCACUCCCUAUAUUUGCAAAAUCAUGUCGUGGGGCAAAGUUCAGCCAUCCCAGUGAUCUUGAUGACCAAAGUGUCCUAUGUGUUUAUAAUAUAAUGCAAAUGACUUCAAUCUUAGGUAGCCACAUUUCCAAAUACCAUUUAGAGCUUUAAUGACUUGUCCUAGAAAGGUCCUGUCAAACCUUUUCAAACCUAUUUAAUGGAUCUUCUAAACAAUGUAAAAAAGCUUUCUCUAAAUGUUUAUACAGCUUAUAAUUUCAGUGUAAAAAUCAUUGUCCUCUGUCCCCACUACUGCUCUCUUCACCAAAUGCAAAUUUUGAAGCUUCUUUGUUGAAAAUGUUACAAUGUCACCUUCCUCUCUCAGAAUCUGAUUUUCUGCACUGUGGUCUUAAGAUUCAACAUGCAAAGUUGGGGUUCUGACAAUUAGAAAAUUUCCAUAGAGUUUGAAGAUAAUACUCAGAAUCCUGGAAGGCACACUCAAUUUUCAACAGGAAAUUAGGAAACAGAGAUUUUAGUGUCUGUUUUUCCAGGGUAAACUAUAUAACCUUGAGUUCAUUAUACCUUCUAUGAGCCCUGAUUUGCUCGUCUCUAAAAUGAAUGUCACACACUGCCUCUUCUGUCUUUUAAUGUUGUUCCAUGACACCAUUUAAGCCUGCUAAUGAAUUACUUAAAUAUCGAAGUCCACAUUAAGCCUUAUGGAAAAGCAUAACUGGCAAGAUUUUCCUCUCAAUUACUUGUGCUAAUAGGGGCCAAAAUGGCAUGGAUACUUCACAGAUAAUCCCCAAACUUCAAUUUAGCUAAGUGUUCCAACCUCCACUUCUGCCAAACCAUUUACAGGGGAUUCAAACAAUUAGCACACACUGGCAUGAGAAUUUUCUCUUUAUAAUUCCUGCCUGCCUUACUGCUUAUGACUAGAAUAUUUCAAUAUCUAAAUUUCUAAAAAUAGAAAUAAAGACUAAAUCAAGUAUAGCUGUUGCAUAAUCUUCCAAUUGGUUUUGUUGCAAGAAUAUUCCAAAACUGUUGUAUUAAUAAUAAUUUAUUAAGAGCUUAUUUUACAGCAGUGUCCUUUACAAGUCAUUUAAAUCGACAAUCACCUUAUUAGGUAGUGUGUUGGUUUCCAGGGCUGCCAUAACCAAGUACCACAAACAGUGACUUUACCAACAAAGAUUUAUUGUCUCACAGUUCUGGAGUCUAGAUGUCUGAAAUCGAGGUGUCCAGCAGGAUGGUUCUUUCUGAGGACUAUGGUGGAAACUUAAUUUCAUGCCUCUUUCUUGGCUUCAGAUUUUUUUCCCUUUCUUUUUGAAAUUGUUGGCACCACUUGACUUGUAGAUAUGUUAUUCCAAUCUCUGCCUUCAUCCUCACAUGGUGUUCUUUGUGUCUUUUUACAUGGUGCUGUUUUCAUGAGGACAUCAGUCAUGUUGGACUGGUGGGGGGAGUCUAUCCUAAUUCAAUAUGACUUUAUUUUGGCUUGGUUAUUUCUGUAAAAGACCCUGUUUCCAAAUAUGGUUACAUUCUGAGAUACUGGCGAUUAAUACUUAAAAUAUAUCCUUUGAGACGGAGGCACAAUUCACUUCAUUAGAGGUAGGUGAUAUCCCCAUUUUAUACAUGGGUUAACUAAGGUUACAAUAUUGAAUUAAAAUUCCUAAGGUCACAAAUCCAGUCAGUGGCAGAGCUGGGAUUCACAUGCACAUUUUGAUGACCUCAUUCAUUAUUUAGCAAAUAAUCUCAGUACUCAAAAAGAAAAUAAGAUAUAUAUGUCUCCCAGGACUAAGAGUAUUGAUCAUAUACUUUCUGGUAGCUUCACUAAUAUAGAAGAUUCAGCAACACUGACCAACAUCAAGGUUUCACUGAUGGUACCUGAGCUAAAUUUGUGUUUGUCAGAACUUAGUUCUCCAUUAAUUCUCCAAACCUGAGCAAGGAUGGGGGGGAAAAAAAAAAAAAGGAAAGGCCUGGACCUCCAGUCAUCUUGAACUAACUCUCUCUAUAUAAUAACCCUGCAGAGUCUAAUAAUAGACUGUCCAUGUAAAAAGAUUUUUAAAUGUUCAUUAUCUACUUAAUGGGGAACUGAUAAACAGCAAUUAGGAGAAUUUUUCUGUUUUAUUGCGUAUGUGGUUUUAUAUUCAAGACGGUGUCAGAAAAUGAAGAGAAAACCUUCCACAGUCAUAUAGGGGGUUGCACUGGAAGGUCAAAGUUAACGAGCAUCAGAUCUCUGAUUCUUUUUCCCAGUUAUGUUCUAAUGUUUUUAAAUGAUUGGCAUUUAGAAACUAACUGGCUGCCCAUUAAUCUGGCUCUGCCCUGAGCACCUCUAUUUAAUACCCUCUUUAGAAAUGAUUAAGACAAGCAGAACCUUGGGCCUUUGAAAGAAGCAGAUGGGCUUCAGGAUGGGGAGAGAGUACUUAAAUUGAUAAACUGGGGUAAACUGGAAUAUUUCCAUUAGGCCCUUGAAUCCCUGGAAUACUCAGUUUCCUCCAAUAAAUAACCCCUAUUAUACCAAUAGUUUGGUAAAAUAAAACCUCAUCACAAGCUUUCCUGACAGUGGUUAGAAAUGUCAUUCUUUCAGAGUUCCCACUGUGGCUCAGUGGAAACAAACCUGAGUGGUAUCUAUGAGGACUCAGGGUUGAUCCCUGGCCUCACUCAGUGGGUUAAUGGUUCAGCAUUGCCAUGAGCUGUGGUUUAGGUCAUGGCUUUGAUCUGGCAUGCCUCUGGCUGUGGUGUAGGCCGGAUGUGUAGCUCCAAUUUGACCCUAGCCUCGGAAAAAGAAGAAAAUGUCAACUCUUUCAAGAUUCCUGAUAUUAUAAUAAAUAGGGGAUUACUUUCAUUAAUAAACAUAAUUUUUCAAAAAAAUACAAGUCUCUGGGAAGUUACAGGACAUUAGCCAUUUACAACGUAAUGGAAUCCAUUAUGCUCCUUCUGCUUUAAAGAGCACUCGUUGUAGCUGGUUACAGUGAAAAAGUGGAAAUCUUGAUGUAGGUCUGGGUCAAAAAAAAGGAGUAAGUAGUUUAGUGCUCAGUGAAGAGAAUUUAUGAUAGAGGUGUCUUGGUUUGUGUGUGUGUAAGCCAGGAGGGUCUAUAUUCCUUAUGCUAGUGCUAUAGACCAGAAGUUUAAUCUAUUUAUUUACAGCCGUAUUUUGAUUUGCUUUAUUAUUGAAGAAAAAAUAGAUUAUUUCCCCUGAGUGCCAUAACAUUACUUUGUUUAUGAGCAUUUCAAUAAUAGAUACUUGGAGUAUACAAUUGUUAGAAUAAAUUUAAAUAACUAAAUAAUUAUCACCUUUGAUUACACUUAAGAUAUGCAUUGGGGACAUGAAUAAAGGAGUUGAUAUAAUAGCAAAACCUCUGCAAUUUGUAUUAGUAAUUGUUGGUAAACCAGGGAGGUAAUAGUACAUAAAACAGAUUUAUGUUAAUUACACAAAAGUUAAUUUUUCCACAGUUGUUAUCAUUUAAAAUACAUAUUUUCAAAAUUCCAAAAGUAUUUCUUAUGAAGUAGUUUCACAAAUACACAUCAAACAACAUGUGAACAUCCUUUGUUUAGGUACUAAGAAUAUGUUGCUAAUUAUUUGAAGUGAAUUUAGCUGACUUCAACUUUAAACUGAAUCCAAUUUUUUUUUUUUUUAAUGGAUGAAAGGGAAUAGAAGCAGGAAGGUUUCCUAAGUUAGAGCUGUCCUGAUUAACUAUACCCCUAUUUCUGCCUAUGAAGUUUCCAAAUGAUCUGCUAGAGUUUUAAUAAAAAUUUCUUCCUAAGGCUUUCCAUCCUUAAAAAAAAAUUAGAAUACACAAAAUAAGUUAUUAUUAAAAAGGCAUACGUCCUUUACUAUUAAUAAAAAGGCAUACUUCCUUCAUUGACCCUGGGGUAUAUAUACUCUGUGUAUUCUAUACAAAAUAAUGUCUUGUUAUGGAGUCUUAAAAGGAAUUAAAACUGUUAAACAAUGAUUGAUCCUGACAAUAAUAAAUAUCUCAUGAUAAAAUGCUAUCCAGUGUUUUAUUAUAUUCAUCGCUAUUAGGGUUUUAGGGGAUCAAUAAAUAAUACCCUGUUGUUCCCUUCCUGAGCUUAGAAUCAAUUCAGAAUUAAGGCCCAGGAGACAGUGAAGUAGAGGUCAAAUGGCCAAUUUUAUAAAGAUGAUUGGAAAAUGUAGUUUUAAAAGUAUAGGUAGAUAGACUUAAUACCCCAUCACUGAGUUAAGCAGCAGACUUUCCAACUUAGUUAUUGGCACAGCUGAAUACCUGACCUUGCUGAUAGGACUGAAUUGUCCCCUCUAGCUUAUCACAGAGGAUCAAAGAAAUCAAAGGGUUCCCAUUGUGGCUCACUGGGUUAAGAACCAGAGAUAGUGCAUUCUUAAGAGAAUGCAGGCUCCAUUCCUGCCCUCCCUCAGCGGGUUAGGGAUCCAGGGUUGCCUCAAACUAUGGCUUGGAUUUGGCAUUGCUGUGGCUGUCGUAUAGGCCAGCUGCAGCUCCAAGUCAACCCCUAGCCCGGGAAUUAACAUAUGCUGCUGGUGCAGCUAAAAAAAAUUUAGAUGUGAGGAUCAACAGGCAUUGAACAAAGCCAUAGCCAUUUGCAGUAACAUGGAUGGAACUAGAGACUGUACUGAGUGAAUUAAGUCAGAAAGAGAAAGACAAAUACCAUAUGAUAUCACUCAUAUCUGGUAUCUAAUAUACAGCACAAAUGAACCUUUCCAUAGAAUAGAAAAUCAUGGACUUGGAGAAUAGACUUGUGGUUGCCCUGGGGGAGGGGGAGGGGGUAGAAGGGAUUGGGAGCUUGGGGUUAAUGGACACAAACUAUUGCUUUUGGAAUGGACAAACAAUGAGAUCCUGCUAUGUAGCACUGAGAAAUAUGUCUAGAUACAAUGCAGCAUGACAAUGGGAGAAAAAAUUAUGUAUGCAUGAAUGUGUAACUGGGUCCCCAUGCUGUACAGAGGAAAAAAAAAAGUGUGUUGGGAGAAAUAACAAUAAAAAAA